rnacentral:rRNA from 1 species
AGAGUUUGAUCCUGGCUCAGGAUGAACGCUAGCGGCAGGCCUAAUACAUGCAAGUCGAACGGUAACAUGAGAGCUUGCUCUUGAUGACGAGUGGCGCACGGGUGCGUAACGCGUAUGCAACCUACCCUUUACUGGAGGAUAGCCCGGAGAAAUUCGGAUUAAUACUCCAUAGUACCAUAAUGUAACAUUAUAUAGUGGUUAAAGAUUUAUUGGUAAAGGAUGGGCAUGCGUGACAUUAGUUAGUUGGUAAGGUAACGGCUUACCAAGACGAUGAUGUCUAGGGGUUCUGAGAGGAAGAUCCCCCACACUGGUACUGAGACACGGACCAGACUCCUACGGGAGGCAGCAGUAGGGAAUAUUGGUCAAUGGGCGAGAGCCUGAACCAGCCAUGCCGCGUGCAGGAAGACGGCCUUCUGGGUUGUAAACUGCUUUUAUAUAGGAACAAAGAGGCCAUGCGUGGCAAGUUGAGUGUACUAUAUGAAUAGCACCGCUAACU